CGGUGUGUCUGGUAGAACAAAAUUAAUUUAAAAAAAUCGGUAUCGCUAAAACACCCACCAAACGAAAGCUGAAGGUCCCCUCUUUCAUUUGAGACUAAAAGGAGAAAGUUCUAUCGGCGGGUCUAGAACAAUUUUUUUUUUCAAAUCUUACUAUCUUUAAGGCUUGUGUUUUUUUCUUUUUUCAACCUUGAGUGUAGCCAAAUGGGCUUGUAUGAGGUCGCCCAUUAGUAACGUGUCCUUUUAAAAGAGUAAACGGGUCAAAUCAAAAAUUAAAAUUUUCCUUACAAAAUAUUGCUUAGACAUAAAGUGCAAAAAAAAAAUAUUUAAGGCAGUUGAAUAGAAUUUCAGCAGUAUCUGGGCAUAUAUACAAAUAAACUUAACCUUUUACGUGGAAGUAGUUAUUGCAGCUGAUUUUCUUAUUUUUAUUGACAAUGUCUUUUGAUUUAACAGUUUUACGAUCAAAGUAGGCCGAGUAAUGUCAACAAAAACAGAACAUACAUCAAAGUAGCUCGGAUAACGGGGCACAACAUUUGGAAGGUAAUCCAUUUCGGAAAACUGAAAGUUUUUUGAUGAUGCAAUUUAAAUCGUUCAAAAGCAUGAAUAACACGAUCUAGAACUCCACACCAAUUUUAUCAAUGUGAUGAAUUAUCACAUGCCGGUAUUUGUUCAAUUUGUGCACCUUUAUGGUACCUAAGACUUAAACAUUUUUAGUUAAUUUAGACUAUUGCAGUUAGGUAUAGCUCCUUACUUUUAAAGAAACAACUACGACAAGAACCCCCUAAGUGACGAGGAAAACCAAACCAAAGGGUACGUUUUGUGUUUGAAGAAGUGUUUUUCCGCCACAAUUAUCAUCGAAAACAGUUAAUAUUCUCUGUUUUAGAUUUGUUUAGUAAAAUUGUCUAUAAAAAAUAUUAGUAACAGUAUAUCUUUGUGAACAGGUAGCCUUACUCAACUGACAAAAACAGAAUUAAUGCUACAUGUCUAACGGUAUAUGUAAUAAGAACAAUGUGCUAAUCUGUCGGUUAUCAAUAGUUUGAUCUUUUGCUAUUAUUUUUUUGAAUCUAUAUUAACGAGAUUUUUAGCCCUUGGCUAGUUCAUCUCGGGACCCAAACUUCAUUUCCCUUUCGAAGGAAGAACUCACAUUCUGUGAGUUUGUCGGGAAACAUCUUCUGAGCACAUACAUAUUAAUCAGAACGGAUUGAAAAUGUCUUAACUUGAUCUUGUUUCUACUUGCAGGUUGUUGAUAUUAUGAAAACUUUUUUCUGAAAGAUAUCAGAGAUAGCAGUUAGUACUACCCCACAAAAAAGUUCGGACUUGCUCAUUUAAUUUAUCUCAUUCGCCACCAUAUACCCAUUAGAUUUACUCUCUAUGAGCUUACAUAUUAUUUGAAACCUUCUACAUGGAGUUGCGGCCCUUGUUUGUGAAAUAUGUAGUUCUGCAAGAACUACAACUUCUCAUAAAGGGCAAACGUGGCAGAUCUAGCGCUACUACCGAUGACGCAGAAAGAAAUUGCUCGUUGCAGUUGUGUUCUAGAUGCUACAGGAAGAUGAUCAAAGGCAAACAGCUUGUUUGCACUAAAGCUGAAGUACAUUGAAACUUGUUGAACAUCAUUCAGACUUCUCAUAAAGUUGCUGAGGUUACUGAAUAUUUGCGGGCAAAACCCAAAGAUCAGACUGAUCAGAUGAAGCUCUCAAAUAUUCAUGAACUACCAUCCAGAUGGAAACCGGCUUCAACGAGUGACCAGAACAGUAAACAGAUUUUGUUCACCGAUGAUUUGUUUUUGAUAACGAAAAGUGCCCAUAAAGCCACAGCUGCAAAAGCGUGAGUACCCAGCACAACCUUGCUGAGGAUGACGGGUUCGAUUCCCGGUCAGUCCAGGACCGUUUCGUGAAGGAAAUUUCCUCGACUUAAAUGAGCAUGCAGUAUUUUCGUGCAAGUCACACGCUAUACACAUGCAAAAUAGUAAUUGGCAAAAUAAGUUUUUAGUUAAAAACUGUGAAAGUGCUUGUAGGAGAUAAAAUAAGAAAAUUUCAAACAAAUCAAACAAUUUCAUUUAUUCUUAUUACAUCUCCUACAGUGCUCAUAGAACAAGCUUAGAAGCAUGCUUUGUCCCUGUAGGGACGUUUUGCCAAGAAGAAGAAGAAGAAGAAGAA